rnacentral:lncRNA from 1 species
GAUUCACGUUGUAUGCAUAAUACGGACCUGACUAAGUGGGUAUACCCGCUCUGUAGAGGGCCAGCCAGGAGGCUUUCGAUGGGUAGAAUUUUCGGCAUGUUUUACGAGUCUCAUAUCGUCAACCGAAGGCUAAGAACCUCAAAUAGAACCGAUUAUGUCAUGGUGCAUUCGCAUGCAUUGGAGUAAUUCCGGACCUGGUCUUGACUGCGCAGAAAAAGAAAUUCUGGGGAAGAUCCUAUCAUCCAAAGGGAGACCUGCAAGGCGGUAAAUUUAAAUUGUGAUCGCAAUAACAGUUAGUUAGUCAUCUAUCGUACAUUGGAGCACGGAGUACAUAAGUAGGAGUCCGUACCUAGCUAGAUACACACAAAUUAAGUCUUACCCAACCCCCUUCAUCCAUACUACGUACUACCUACUCCGUACGUACAUAGUGACUGGUAAAUUGGAUUCCUCCCAGAACGAAAACAACAAGAUAGAAUGGGCCCAGUGGAUACAUAUGGUACAUAAACAUUUCGGGGAAGAGAAGCCGGCGUCCACUCUGUUAGACUGUGAAGUAACUUCAGUAAACCCAGUAUCCCGGUCCUGUGGAUAUGGAUCGUCUGAACCUGACCUGAUCCGUCCAAAGUAAAUCUCCCUCACCGCGUACCUGCAGAUUCUUUUUUUUUUUUGGGUUCAUCUUUUUGAGCUCUUUGGCUGGCUAGCCCCUAUGAUCUAUCACGUUCCUCGCACCCAUCACCUUGGUUAUUGGUACAUGUCCGCUUACUAGUUACGUACUACGCAAGCCGUGAGCAGCCUAAUGCAAGGCCCCCUCGGCCGGCUCACUAGAUAUUAUGACUGCUUCAAAUUUCUUCAUGAGUGCAUACACAUACAUAGUAUACAUACAUACUAUGUAGUAGUAUGCAUUAGACAAGAUAUCCAGAAAUGUGGCGUCGCCAAGUCUGAUCAACUACAUGAUCAUUUUCUUUCCCUAGCCUUACUGCUCCGUUGUCAUGAUACAGAUGAAGUAACCAUGUCGACGCGAAGCAGCUAGGGGCCUAGGGCACCAGAGGCUAAACGAUCGCGCCAAUGAAAGCAGAUAUGACGGUUUCUGAAGCAAAAGGAAAAAGAAAAAGAGAGGCGUUCCUCGAGUUACCAUUUUGUUGGGACUGAGUUUAUUUACUUAGCAGUUGGCAUCUUAUUCACUGUUCAGACUACAAUUAACUAAGUUAACUGCAUAGGGCGUAGGACCGCCUACGUAAUCAGCCUGCCCCCUUUUUAUUUAUGGAUGAAUUAUUCUCCUUCAUUCCUUUUCCUAUAUAGGAAUGAGCUUAAUUCCGACGCGAUGGCCCGAUUUACAUGACGAAAAAAUGUGAACCGUCUUAUAACUAAGUUAUAACUAACUAUACCGGGAGUUAGCUUCAGACAGGUUUUUUCUUCAGAAUAAUGGAUCCCUGUCGUCUCUUGUGAUAUCUGCACAGCCUCCGGGAGACAGUGGUCUACCCUCUCCCCAUCCAUAGCCGUAGAUAUGAAAAUCCUCGAUAUAUCAGAAUACCCAAACACAUAGUUAACUAAUCAGUCGCAAACCUUGUUACAGUCCCACCGCGACUUCAGUACCAACCUAUUCAGGCAAGUCGAAAUCAAGCGAUUGAAGCAAAGCAACAAACGGAGCUACCCGAGCGGAAGGCGUUCCGCGCUGCACUACUCAUUCAGUGGGUUUGAAGUUUUGAACUAAUUCUGCGCGCCGUCAAUUGUGAGCCGUUCGGUUGGUAUUAGUCAAAGUCUUGGGAAAGAGGUGGCUGGGCUGGACUGGUCGAGACUGCCCUGUCUCGGCGCCUAAUGAUCUAGAAAUUUGAGAAGUUGAAACUGAUUUUUGAUUCUAUUUUUGUUCAAGUACCGUUAGGG